rnacentral:ribozyme from 1 species
UGCUCAGCAACUCCUAUCCCUACCUCCUCGUGGUACCGGCCGGAAACUAUGAGCAACCUUAGGGAAGAUCGGGUAACCAACCCCGGUGGGAACUUUGGUCGUAGGCUGACAGGGAAGG